CUGGGUGGACAUGGCCAGCUCUACAUCGUUCGCGUCAAGGGUGCCUGUGGGGGCCUGGGCAGGAGUAGGACAGAUCUGAGGGUCUCUGGCAGAGGGGGUGGCAAAAAUUCAAAAAUUUAGCUCAGUAGCUAAGUGCCUUCAGUUCUUGUAGGCUGAAAUGAUGGGGAGAGGGAUGAAAACACAACUGCCUGUAAUUCUGCCCUCCCUGGAAUUCAACCACUGCUUCUGAAACCCUUCAAAUCUAAUCCACGAAGCCAGCUUUGCAAUGAUACCAGUCCAUAAUUGCUAUCUAUUUGCUCCUGGGCUGAAUUAAUGCACUCUGAGACCCAGAGUUGCCUGAAAAACAGGUGCCACCACCUCCAUACAUUGACAGAGCAGAUGCUUCGAGGUGGAGUCACGGCAAACAUGAGCCUUGACAGGAAGAGGCAUAUUUUCAGUUUGAAGCCUAGGCAAAAUAAUCAAGAGGUGUUUUGCACUUAAGCAUGUAAAGCAUGUGAGGGAAGCUACAGGAUCCUAUCUAGUUUUCUGGGAACACUGAAUUAACUGUUUCUUGUAACAUUCUUAGGAAAGCAACAUGGGGACUCUUGUUUCUAUCACGUAGAUAGCAAUUUGACUUUUAUCUUUGUGCAAAAAAAAAGGAAACCAUUUUACUAGACGGCACAGCUUUAGUUAAAGUAUUUUAUUACACAUGUAUAUUGCACAUGUGAAAGCUGCAGCUGGCAUGCAGAUAACGUGCAUUUGUACAAUUGGGUGGAAUACAUCUCAUCUAUGCAUAUUGUAUGGGAGUGGAACAAUAAGCAAGGUGUGUAUUUGGAACUUUGAGAACGUAGUAAUGAGGUGUGUAUUUGGAACUUUGAGAAUGUAGUAAGGAGGUCUUUUUGACAAGAAUGGGUUUGAGAGAAAUCCAUAAAGCAGCAAUUUAAAGGAGAGUAUUCUUCAUAUAGGGGCGCGAUGGCUCAGCGGUUAAAGACAUGGACCUUGUCAGUUGGUGAGCUGAUGAGCCAUGUUCGAGACCCAAGCUCUAUGCAACAGGUGAGCUCCCGUCACUUGCUCCAGCUCCUGUCAACCUAGCAGUUUGAAAGGAUGCACAUGCGAGUAGAUAAAUAGGUACCACUUUGGUAGGGAGGUAAAAGCCUUCCAUGCACCUUGGCGUAUAGUCAGGCUGGCCACAUGACCUUGGAAAUGUCUUUGGACAAUGCUGGCUCCCUCAGUUAAGAAACGGAGAGGAGCAUCGUGCCCUAGAGUUGGACACAGUUGGACAGGGGAAAUCUUUACCUUUUGUUCUUCAUAUGGGCAUUUUAAUUCUGGAAUUAUUUCCUUUCUACACAACUUUAGUUGACCUCCCAAUUUUUUUUGCCCUCAAGACGGUCUACUUCCAUAUCAGGUCUUUAGUAGAAUCUUUGUUUUUAUAUGGCUUCUCAAGUUUUGUUGUUACUUUAUACCUUUUUUGUGUCCAGCCUUAAGGUUUCAAACACCUGCAAUUCCACCUAGCUUUAUUGCUUAUAUUCUAUUUUUAAUCCCUGCCGUUUGACGAUUUUAUAACAAGAAAAAAAAAGAGAGAGGCAACUCCUGCAGUUUAAUUACCAACCAAACCAGCUGCCUUCUCAAAGAAGGAAAUCAAGUUCAGCGUGAUUUGCCUGAAGUAAUCUCUGUUGGCUGCUUGUAAUUAUCCAAUUGUCUUCUAUGUGCUUACAAAUGGAUUGCUUUAUGAUUUAUUUGAAUCAUUUGCCAAGGGUGGAACUUGAUUAGCAACAAUGUAUGGAUGUAGCUGUGUGCGUGUCCACCCACGUUCCCAGCCUUGCCAAAUGAAAUGGAGUCUUAGUAAGGCUGUUUUCGGGGUGGGGAAAGGAGCAAAGGGCUAGGUAUUAACCUGGAGAGUUGAUGCUGUCACAUUGACUGCUACGAUUGCCAAGCAAGCAGGAAAAUGCAGACAGAAUUGCUUUUUAACGCUGCCAUCUGCAACUCUUUCCCACUGAUGUACUUUGGAUUUGUUCGGUUGGUUGCAUGUUGUUGUUGUUGUUGGUUUGUAAAAGAUGGGGGGGGGAUGAAAUAGCGACAGGGAUUUCUAGCACUCGUAAUGUACUGUAAGAGUAAUUUUGAGGAACAGGAGGAAGAGCUACAAGCAAAAUAAUGUCAGAUAAGGGCAAUCUGAGGCCCAAAGCAGAAAAGUAAUUUGGGAAAAUGCUGCAGACUUGACCCAGCCCAGUUCUCCUGUAGAUAAAGGAAGGCGGGGGGGGGGAGAUUCUUUCAAACUUACAAAAUUCUGUUACUAUAAGCGUCUAAUAAAAUUAAUUUUAGUAUUGACAACUUUGGUUUCCAAGUCUGGCCAAUCUUAAAGGAAGAACAGGACUGGAAAAGCAAAGAGUCUCCUAAAUCAACAGUGUGAAGAAAGUUAAGGCCAGAAGCCAGGAGACCAAAAUCAGAUAUGGAUUGCAAGGAGAUCAAACCGGUCAGUCAUAGAGGAGAUCAACCCUGACUGCUCUUUAGAAGGCCAGAUCCUGAAGUUGAAACUCAAGUACUUUGGCCACCUAAUGAGAAGGAACGACUCACUGGAGAAGAGCCUAAUGCUUGGAAAGAUUGAGGGCAAGAGAAUUUUGAUCAUGUGACCAUAGGAAUGCUGCAGUAGUCCUAAGUGCGAGGACUCGUUGUAAGCAGUGGCGGGAUUCAGCCAGUUUGUACCACUUCGGCAGAACUGGUAGCUAAUUUUUGGUUGCCCAGGUCCAGAACGGACUUCCGGAAGCGGCAUCCAUGCAGAGAACCAGUUGUUCCCAUAUUUGAAUCCCACCACUGGUUGUAAGCCACUUUUUUCGGUGCUGCUGAAAACAAAGGAGUGUGAUCUAAUCCAAGUGGGAAAAAAUUUACAAGAAAUACUAGAUUUGGAAAAGAAAUGUUCUAUUCUGUAUCGUGGAUGGCACUUUUGACAAGCAGUUUGCUCCAAUCUAAAUUUCUGUGUUGCAACAUGGCAAAUCAGCAUUUUUUUAGAUGUUCCUGCCACAUGGAUGAAUACAGCAGAGCCAAUUAUGGAGAAUGUAAAGCAACACUUGUGAAUGGUGGAAGGUGGGUGUUUUUUUAAAUACAUAUACAUUGGAUCUUGGGAUUCAGACAAAUUCACGAAGCAACCUUGGGCAACUAUCUUUCAGAUACAAUAUAGGUAGCCCUCAACUUACAACAAUUAAGCUCAACAUUUCUGUUGCUAAGCAAGACAGUUGUUAAGAGAGUCUUGUCCUAUUUUAUGACCUUUCUUGCCACAGUUGUUAAGUGAAUCACUGCAGUUGUUAAAUUAGUAAGUGAAUCUGAUUUUCCCCAUUGACUUGGCUUAUUGCAAAAGGGAAUUAUGUGACUUAGGAACGUCACAACCAUCCGAAAUAUGAGUCAAUUGCCAAGUAUCUGAAUUUUGAUCGCCUGAUCGUGGGGAUGCUGCAAAGAUCAUAGGUGUGAAAAACGAUCACAAGUCACUUUUUCCAGCACCGUUGUAACUUCAAAUGAACUGCUGCAAGUCAAGGACUGCUUCUACGUUGAGCUAUAUAAGGGGAAUAAUCGUCUUACCCCUCCAGGUUUUGCAGAGAAAAUAUUUUUUAUAAAGCCACUGUUAUGUUCUAGCAAACGUAGGAGUUUGGGACAUAACAGUCCCUUAACGGACGUAAGCCAAUAAAGUGGCAAUGUUUCUCAGCCACUGAAUUUUCAUGGCAGGAUUAGCUGGCCUCACUAGCUAAUUUCUGCCUGUCGCAGUGCUGCUAAUGGCACAGGAAUCCCGUUGGGUUUGCUAGGCACCUAUCAUGCCAACAGCGGUUAAUCCUCCUCGCAGAAUACUACAUAACGAUAAAGGAAGUAAUCUCAUUAGUCUGGAGGCAAGCUUAAAAGGUGAAAAGCUACCAAAGAGAAGUUAAAAAAUAGAAGCCUUUUAUUUGCUCUUUAGAAACAAGAGCUCGGGAAUGCUAAUACGAUGAAGCUCUUCCCCCUUCUGAAGUAGAAUGAAGUAGUGAAGCUCAGAACAACAAACAUAGAAUCGUAUGGGCUGGAAGGGACCCCCAAGGUCUUCUAGUCCAACCCCCUGCUCAGGCAGGAGAUCUUAUACCAUCCUGGUCAAAUGGUUAUCCCGUCUAUUUUUGAAGACCUCCAGUGAUGGAGCCCCCACAACUCUGGAAGGCAACCUAUUCCACUGAAUAAUUGUUCUCCCUCUCCGAAAAUUUCUCCUUACUUCUAGGGUGAAUCUCUCUUUAACAAGCUUCCACCCUUUACUUUUUAUCCUGUUGUCUAGUGUUUUGGAGAAUGUCGACCCCCCCCUCUUCUCUGUGACAGCCCUUCAAGUACUGGAAGACAGUUAUCAUGUUGCUCCUAAUCCUUCUCUUCAAUAGACUAGAUCAGAUCAUGCUGGCUCAGGAAUUCUGGGAGUUGAAAUCCACGAGUCAUAAAAGAGCCAAGGUUGUCUACCCCUGGACUAGAUAUACCUAGUUCCCUCAAUCGUUCAUCCAGAUCUUACUACCUCUGUUGUUCUUUUCCAAAAGUUUCAUAAGCUUUUUUGUAUUUUUUCCAAUUUUUGGCAAGUGUCUGCUGUAUUAAUUUCUUCGACUUUCUCUUUAACUUGCAGCAGUGCUUGUGGGUUUGACGUUGCCUGACAGAAGUAGUUUUGCGGGACUGCAUAAUGGGGUGAGGAAUGUAAUAAGGGUGAGUAGAGAGCCCUUGGAAGCUGAAGAAGUUAAAUAAUAGCUGAAGAGGGCAAGAUUUAAUCUUAUCUCUACCUUGAAUGCUCUGAGAAAGGACACUGUGUUCUCUAGCUUCUACAGCUGGAUUCUCAAUCACAAUACUCAACACUUGACAGCUAGUUUUAACAAACUGUUCCACAGAAAAAUGAAGCCAAGGUGACACCUGGCACCCAGAUUAAGGGCUCUUUCACAAAGCAGCUUAAACUGCUGCCUCCUGCGUUGAAAGUGACUGGAAGAAAGCAGUCUUAAGAAAUCCCUAUCUGGAUUUCAACCCUUUCUUCAGCUUUGGCAAUGAAGUCGGUCAGGUGUUCAUUCCAGGCUGUGAUCACCAUGGGCUCCGACUGCCAGGAAAUCAGCAAAGUCUCCAUUAUAGGCUCUGUUUGGACCAGUCACCCAUUCUCAGACCAACCCAUGUCAAAAGCUUGUCGUUGUGGGGAAAAGAGGAGGAAGGAGGACUAUUAGGUAUGUUUCCUGGGUUUAUUUAUAAAAAUAAUAAAGGCGGAAUAUAAACACAAUAAAUGAAAACAGAAGAUUCCCUGAAAUAUAUCUGAAAAACAGCUUAAGCAAGCGAACCACAUGGAGGAACCGGUUCAAAGGCAACGCCCCGUUCUCCAAAGCCAUCUGUAGCACAUUUUUGUGGAUUGGGGCUGCUCCCCCAACCCUGGAAGAAUAACGGCCCCUUUGGACAUAUAGCUGAUUCAGUAAAAGUCAAGAUUUCUCUGUUCCUUGUGGAGAUACCAUGGUUUACUGUGCAAUGGCUGCUUCUUCAGGUCCACCUCCAUAGUGCAACUUGAAUGUUCUCACCUCAUCCUCAGAAGUGAUGGUAAAAAUAAAAUCGGGAUUUGGAAAGAAGCAAAUCACCUGUUUAGAGGUGAUUAAACAGGAGGACUUCCCCAGUUCUGACUUCACUUUCACGGCAUGCCUGUGGCAGGAAUCUGUAUGGAUUAAGUCCAACGCGCCUCCAGGUUGGCAGAUUUGAGAAGGCUGGUGUGAAGGUUUACAGAAUUGCAGAAUAACAGAGUUGGAAGGGAUCCUGAAGGUCUUCUAGUCCAACCCCCUGCUCAAGCAAGAGACUUUACACCAUUAUGAACUAAUGGCUGUCCACAGAUCCUUUCCACUGAUUAAUUGUUCUCACUGACAGGACAUUUCUCCUUAGUUCUACACUGGAUCUCUCUCGAUUCAAUAAGCUUUAAAUCUGGGUUGCUGAUCCCUAGUCUGGAAACAAUUCAGGAACUCUAAGGAAUUGGGAAGACUUGCAGUGAGAUUCCUCUCUACCCAGACAUGUGUCAGUUUGGACAGACUAUCAAAUGUUUUGAUUAUGAGCCAUAAUAUUGACUUGUGUAUUGCA